AGUGAACGCUGGCGGUAGGCCUAACACAUGCAAGUCGAACGGCAGCACAGUAAGAGCUUGCUCUUACGGGUGGCGAGUGGCGGACGGGUGAGGAAUACAUCGGAAUCUACUUUUUCGUGGGGGAUAACGUAGGGAAGCUUACGCUAAUACCGCAUACGACCUACGGGUGAAAGCAGGGGAUCUUCGGACCUUGCGCGAUUGAAUGAGCCGAUGUCGGAUUAGCUAGUUGGCGGGGUAAAGGCCCACCAAGGCGACGAUCCGUAGCUGGUCUGAGAGGAUGAUCAGCCACACUGGAGCUGAGACACGGUCCAGACUCCUACGGGAGGCAGCAGUGGGGAAUAUUGGACAAUGGGCGCAAGCCUGAUCCAGCCAUACCGCGUGGGUGAAGAAGGCCUUCGGGUUGUAAAGCCCUUUUGUUGGGAAAGAAAAGCAGCAGGUUAAUACCCCGCUGUUCUGACGGUACCCAAAGAAUAAGCACCGGCUAACUUCGUG
rnacentral:rRNA from 1 species